AUUGAACGCUGGCGGCAGGCCUAACACAUGCAAGUCGAACGGUAGCACAGAGAGCUUGCUCUUGGGUGACGAGUGGCGGACGGGUGAGUAAUGUCUGGGAAACUGCCCGAUGGAGGGGGAUAACUACUGGAAACGGUAGCUAAUACCGCAUAACGUCGCAAGACCAAAGUGGGGGACCUUCGGGCCUCACACCAUCGGAUGUGCCCAGAUGGGAUUAGCUAGUUGGUGAGGUAAUGGCUCACCAAGGCGACGAUCCCUAGCUGGUCUGAGAGGAUGACCAGCCACACUGGAACUGAGACACGGUCCAGACUCCUACGGGAGGCAGCAGUGGGGAAUAUUGCACAAUGGGCGCAAGCCUGAUGCAGCCAUGCCGCGUGUAUGAAGAAGGCCUUCGGGUUGUAAAGUACUUUCAGCGAGGAGGAAGGCAUUAAGGUUAAUAACCUUAGUGAUUGACGUUACUCGCAGAAGAAGCACCGGCUAACUCCGUGCCAGCAGCCGCCGUAA
rnacentral:rRNA from 1 species